rnacentral:rRNA from 1 species
UACGUAGGGACCAAGCGUUGUUCGGAUUUACUGGGCGUAAAGAGCGUGUAGGCGGCCUGACAGGUCUGCUGUGAAAACUCGAGGCUCAACCUCGAGAUGUCGGCGGAAACCGUCUGGCUAGAGUCCGGAAGAGGAGAGUGGAAUUCCUGGUGUAGCGGUGAAAUGCGCAGAUAUCAGGAAGAACACCUAUGGCGAAGGCAGCUCUCUGGGACGGUACUGACGCUGAGACGCGAAAGCGUGGGGAGCAAACAGG